rnacentral:piRNA from 1 species
UGGGAAGGUGUUAUACACAGGCCUCCUGC